rnacentral:rRNA from 1 species
UUGGUGACCAGCGGAGGGAUCAUUACCGAGUUUACAACUCCCAAACCCAAUGUGAACGUUACCAAACUGUUGCCUCGGCGGGGUCACGCCCCGGGUGCGUCGCAGCCCCGGAACCAGGCGCCCGCCGGAGGAACCAACCAAACUCUUUCUGUAGUCCCCUCGCGGACGUAUUUCUUACAGCUCUGAGCAAAAAUUCAAAAUGAAUCAAAACUUUCAACAACGGAUCUCUUGGUUCUGGCAUCGAUGAAGAACGCAGCGAAAUGCGAUAAGUAAUGUGAAUUGCAGAAUUCAGUGAAUCAUCGAAUCUUUGAACGCACAUUGCGCCCGCCAGUAUUCUGGCGGGCAUGCCUGUCCGAGCGUCAUUUCAACCCUCGAACCCCUCCGGGGGAUCGGCGUUGGGGAUCGGGACCCCUCACACGGGUGCCGGCCCCUAAAUACAGUGGCGGUCUCGCCGCAGCCUCUCCUGCGCAGUAGUUUGCACAACUCGCACCGGGAGCGCGGCGCGUCCACGUCCGUAAAACACCCAACUUUCUGAAAUGUUGACCUCGGAUCAGGUAGGAAUACCCGCUGAACUUAAGCAUAUCAAUAAGGCGGAG